UUCCUGGUUUGUCUAGUGGUAAGGAUUCGGCGCUCUCACGCGCGGCCGGGUUCGAUUCCCGGUCAGGUAA